rnacentral:rRNA from 1 species
GAUGAACGCUGGCGGCGUGCUUAACACAUGCAAGUCGAACGGAACUACUCCAAUGUUAGUCUUCGGACAGGAUUUGGUUUCGUUUAGUGGCGGACGGGUUAGUCACGCUUUGGUAACCUGCCCUCUACAGGGGGCUAACAGUUGUAAACGACUGUUAAUACCGCCUAAGCGCACAGGAGCGCAUGCUCCGUUUUGAAAAACUCCGGUGGUAUAGGAUGGAACCGCGUCUGAUUAGCUGGUUGCCGGGGUAACGGCCCACCAAGGCGACGAUCAGUAGCCGGGAAGAGAGGGAGGGCGCACACAUCGGGAGGGGGAAACGGUACGAAAUCCUACGGGAGGCAGGAAUGCGGAAUGUAGCACAACGGGGGAAGUCAUGAAGCAGCGACGACGCGUGAACGAAGAAGUAACUGAGGAUGUAAAGCGCAAGCAACAGGGAAGAAAAUGACGGUACCUGACUAAAAAGCCCCGGCUAACUACGUG